rnacentral:lncRNA from 1 species
ACUGAGAUCCAAGCUAAUCGAUCUGUAAAUACUUGAUAUAAAACAAACACUCCCAAACAUUAAGAUAAGAUAAUAUCGGCUUACGUCUAGUCUAUAUCUCAUAUGGAGUCCUUGCGACUGAUUAGUUCUGAAUUUAGUUCAGAACAUGAUAAAUAGUCUUAAGAGUAUAACCUUAAAAGGAGACUGACAGACUUGCAAAUCCCAUCAUGGAUCAAAC